GCUUAACCGAAGAAGUGCAUCGGAAACUGGGUAACUUGAGUGCAGAAGAGGACAGUGGAACUCCAUGUGUAGCGGUGGAAUGCGUAGAUAUAUGGAAGAACACCAGUGGCGAAGGCGGCUGUCUGGUCUGCAACUGACGCUGAGGCUCGAAAGCAUGGGUAGCGAACAGGAUUAGAUACCCUGGUAGUCCAUGCCGUAAACGAUGAGUGCUAGGUGUUGGAGGGUUUCCGCCCUUCAGUGCCGGAGCUAACGCAUUAAGCACUCCGCCUGGGGAGUACGACCGCAAGGUUGAAACUCAAAGGAAUUGACGGGGGCCCGCACAAGCGGUGGAGCAUGUGGUUUAAUUCGAAGCUACGCGAAGAACCUUACCAGGUCUUGACAUCUUGCGCUAGCCUAAGAGAUUAGGCGUUCCCUUCGGGGACGCAAUGACAGGUGGUGCAUGGUCGUCGUCAGCUCGUGUCGUGAGAUGUUGGGUUAAGUCCCGCAACGAGCGCAACCCUUGUUACUAGUUGCCAGCAUUCAGUUGGGCACUCUAGUGAGACUGCCGGUGACAAACCGGAGGAAGGUGGGGACGACGUCAGAUCAUCAUGCCCCUUAUGACCUGGGCUACACACGUGCUACAAUGGUCGGUACAACG
rnacentral:rRNA from 1 species